rnacentral:misc_RNA from 1 species
UUUCCGUAGGUGAACCUGCGGAAGGAUCAUUAAUGAGUUGUCAUGGGGUUCGAUGCUGGCAGCCAAUUCUUGGAUGCAUGUGCUUGCCCUAACAAUCAUCUUCCAAACACCUGUGCACAUUUUUGAGGGAGUCUUGAGUUGGUUGCCGCUCUUGGGUGAUUUUCUCACAUUCCCUUAAAUCAUUAUACGCUAUUAACAAUGUUGAACGUGCUCUGUGCCGCAAGGCUAUUAAUAUAAUACAACUUUUAACAACGGAUCUCUUGGCUCUC